CUCUAAUCACAGGGUGAUGGGAGAAUAGGCCUGUCUGCAAUGUGAAGGCCCCUGAGGUUGAGAGCAGGGCCCCAAAUCCUGCCCAGCUCAGAGGAAGGCAGCCAGGGUCAGGGACUUGGGACGCGAUGAGGACCAAGUGAGGUCUCCUGGGGUCACACAGUCCAAGGUGAAAGAAGACCCUGAGUGAAUGAGGUGUGCNAGUCCAAGGUGAAAGAAGACCCUGAGUGACUGAGGUGUGCGUACGUGUGAGAGAGAGAGAGAGAGAGAGAGAGAGAGAGUGUGUGUGUGUGAACCCAUUGCUUUGUCUGCUUUCUCUCUGAUGCCUGGGAUGCUUCUCCACAUGUUCACAAGUUUUCGUUUUCAAAGCAUUUUCACAAACUACAUUCCCCGUGAUCCUCAACAUGAGACCCCAAGGAAGUUAGGUUUCUUCUCUCCACUUUGCAGGUGGAGAACUGAGGCCCAACCUGGGAAAAGACUUUGACAAGGUCAUGCAGCAGAGCUGGAAGAGUCCAGGCUUUCUUCACCACAUGGCAGUUUAUGCCACGGAAGCAUGGCUUUCCUGAGAGGACCCUGUAAGCCAGACAAGAAGAUGCUUCCCUGCCCGUCCUGAUCCCCAGCCUUGGCGCCCAGCAGCCUCCUCUCUGGUUAACUGGAGAGGCAGCAAUCUCACUUCACCGAUGGGGAAACUGAGACUUAGCAACUUACCCAAGAUUGGGAAAUGGCCACUGGAGAGGUUACACAUUUCCUUCAAGGUCAAGGACUGGGACCAGAGGAACAGCACCAUAUCCAAGGAUGUAAGGCUCCAAAAAUUGAUUCUGCUCCUUGAAGUAGGAUUCUUGGUGCCCUUUGGAAGCUUAGAGUGCAUUUUCUUUUUAAAUAGAGAUGCUGAGCUUGACCACAGUAGAUUUCUGAUUUGGUGGAGGGGGG
rnacentral:lncRNA from 1 species